GAUGAACGCUAGCGGCAGGCUUAAUACAUGCAAGUCAAGGGGGUAGCAAUACAACCGGCGCACGGGUGAGUAACGCGUACACAACAUACCAUAUACUGGAGUAUAGCUUUGGGAAACUGAAGGUAAUCCUCCAUAACAUUGCGAGAGGGCAUCUGAUUGCAAUUAAAGUUUCGGCGGUAUAUGAUUGGUGUGCGUUUGAUUAGCUAGUUGGUAGGGUAACGGCCUACCAAGGCGACGAUCAAUAGCUGGCGUGAGAGCGCGACCAGCCACACUGGAACUGAGACACGGUCCAGACUCCUACGGGAGGCAGCAGUAGGGAAUAUUGGACAAUGGAGGAAACUCUGAUCCAGCCAUGCCGCGUGAUAGAUGAAGGCCCUCUGGGUUGUAAAUAUCUUUUAUCUGGGAAGAAACACUCCUAUUCUUAGGAACUUGACGGUACCAGAGGAAUAAGCACCGGCUAACUCCGUGCCAGCAG
rnacentral:rRNA from 1 species